CAGGUCAAAGUAACAUCCAGUCAGACUUUGCAUGGCAUGAGGCAGAAACAGGAUUUUCUAGCACGGAGCACUCAGGUUUUGACGUGGGCAGCAGAGUGCUAUGAAGUCAACUGCUGUAGCUUCAUUCUAUGUUCCAGUGCCACCCACCACACGAAAGGGCACCAUUAAGGCAGCAAAUGGAACAGUGACUGCUCUAUUGUGGAUGAGGCCCUCUGGCAGGAGAAGACACAGCAUCCUGUUGUGGCAACAGCCACCAGCACUGCAAAGUGGUGUGUGGCAAGGCUGGGUUGAUGGAGGCUCCAGAAGUCCCAUACCUGGGCAGCUGAAAGGAAGACUCGGCACAGACAGACAUCUACCCGUGAUGAUUCCACAAUCUGCAACACCCCCCGUCAGUGAUGCUGCGCUCUUGCCAAGCGGGGCUUCUCAGGAAAUCUGGAGGUCACAAGUUCCAGGCUAUUCUGGAUCGGUCACAGGGCACAUAAGUCAUCGGGCCAAUAACUUCAAGAGACAUCCAAAAAGGAGAAAACACAUUCGCCCUUCACCGCCACCGCCACCGAACACUCCAUGUCCUAUUGAUUUGAUUGACUUUGGGGAUCUCCAACCGCAGAGGUCUUUCCUAGAACUCCUCUUUAAUGGGUGCAUUCUCUUUGGGCUGGAGUUCAGCUAUGCCAUGGAAACAGCCUAUGUUACCCCUGUUCUGCUUCAGAUGGGGCUUCCAGACCAACUGUAUGGAAUGGUGUGGUUCAUCAGCCCUAUAUUAGGGUUCUUGCUACAGCCUUUGCUGGGGGCCUGGAGUGACAGAUGCACAUCAAGAUUUGGGAGGAGAAGACCUUUCAUUCUGGUCUUAGCAGUAGGAGCGUUGCUUGGGCUCUCGCUUAUGCUGAAUGGCAAAGAUAUAGGGAGUGCCCUGUCUGACACUGCAAAUAACCACAAAUGGGGGAUCAUCCUUACGGUCUGUGGUGUUGUGCUCAUGGACUUCAGCGCAGAUUCGGCAGACAAUCCCAGUCAUGCCUACAUGAUGGAUGUGUGCAGCCCAGUGGAUCAAGACAGGGGCCUCAACAUCCACGCUUUAUUAGCAGGUCUUGGAGGUGGCUUUGGUUAUGUUGUUGGAGGAAUACACUGGGAUAAAACCAGUUUUGGAAAAGCUGUGGGAGGGCAACUUCGAGUCAUCUAUGUCUUCACCUCAGUUAUACUGACUAUUACUACUGUGCUGACUCUAAUCAGCAUUCCAGAAAGACCCUUAAGGUCCUUUAGCAGGAAGAAAAAGGUGAUGAAGAGUCCAAGUCUUCCUCUCCCUCCUUCUCCACCUUUCUUCUUUGAGGAGGGUGUAAAUGAAAACUUUGCUUCUCAUAACUCAGCUCACUUAUAUGAAAGUUUUACAAGUCCCGUUUCCCCCCUCAGCCCACUCACACCCAAAUAUGGCAGUUUUAUCAGCAGAGACAAUUCCUUGACGGGAAUUAAUGAGUUUGCAUCAUCAUUUGGGACUUCAAAUAUUGACAGUGUGCUUAUAGACUGUUUUACAGGCGGGCAUAGUAGUUAUUUAGCACUUCCAGCUAGCUUGCCCAGGCAGCCUGUCAGUGUCAGCUUUCCUCGGGUACCUGAUGGCUGUUACCAAGGAGAAAACGGAGUUCUGGAGCAAGGGGAGAGCAGCAUAACACCGGGGCCUGACGGCGAGCCGCUAAGGGUGGGCUCACUGGAUGCGAUAAAGCCACGGUCAUCGGGGAUCCUGAAAAGACCUCAGACCUUGGCCAUUCCAGAUAUCGUAACAGGACACUGUCCAGAAAAUAAUAGAAGAAGAAAUGUAACCUUCAGCCAACAGGUUGCUAACAUCUUGCUGAACGGCGUUAAGUAUGAGAGCGAGCUGAAUGGAUCAAGCGAGACCUUGGAGCAACCACUCUCUGUGAAACUUCUUUGUUCGACCAUCUGCCAGAUGCCCAAGGCUCUUCGUAACCUCUGCAUCAACCACUUCCUAGGAUGGCUUUCAUUUGAGGGGAUGUUACUCUUCUACACCGACUUCAUGGGAGAAGUAGUGUUUCAAGGGAAUCCGAAAGCGCCUCACAACUCAGAUGAGUAUCAGAAGUACAACGCUGGGGUCACCAUGGGCUGCUGGGGAAUGUGCAUCUAUGCGUUCAGUGCUGCUUUCUAUUCAGCUGCACUGGAGAAGCUGGAGGAGCGGUUCAGCACGCGGACGCUGUACUUUGUGGCGUAUUUGGCCUUCGGGCUGGGCACAGGGCUGGCCACGCUCUCCAGAAACAUCUAUGUGGUGCUGUCACUGUGUGCUACCUACGGCAUCCUCUUUGCCACGCUCUGCACGCUGCCCUACUCCCUGCUUUGCGACUACUACCAGAGCCGUGAGUUCGUAGGCUCGCAGGCGGAGGGCACGCGGCGCGGGAUGGGCGUUGACAUCUCCCUGCUGAGCUGCCAGUACUUCCUGGCGCAGAUCCUCGUGGCCCUGGCCAUGGGGCCGCUGACGGCAGCUGUGGGCAGUGCCAGCGGCGCCAUGUACUUCGCUAGCCUGGUCUCCUUCCUGGGCUGUCUCUUCUCCUCCCUCUGCAUCACCUACGAGCUGCCACCCACCGAGGAGCUGGCACACACUGAGGAGCAGCGCCCGCUCUUGUCCCGUGCGCGGAAUGAAUAAAUGGGAGAAGCUGCCACAGCCUCUGCUGCCUCAUUGCGUCGCCCUCGGCCUCCCCGUCACAGCAUGGUGGGCUCAUGCGCCCCCGGGAUGGCAGCAGUGGGCAUGGCAAACCGAGAAGCUCUGCGCUGGCUUCGCCGACCUUUCCCCUGCCUGUGGGAGGGUGAGGGGCAAGUCAGCAGCACCUGGCACCACUCAUCCCUCCCCAGAGGUGGCAAAGGCACGUCUGUGCCCCUGGGGCCACGGCAACAGGAGGUGGUGGUGUCAGCGUGGGGCCAUUCCCUCCAGCUUCCCCAGGGUGUCCCCCUGACCGCUGAUGUCUGGCCUGAGGCAGGGGACCUGGCAGGCCGGUGCCUGGGUGACCAUGAUCUCUCAGGCAACAGCGAGCUGCAGGGCUGCACACGAUGCUGUGGGCACCUGGGGCCAUGGUGCUCUGCCAGCUUCGUGGGCAGAAGGUGCCAUCUCAUGGCCAGGCCCAGGCCCCAGUCACCAAGGCAGCGGUGACUCCUGUGAGGCCCUGGGGAGUGGUGGGGCCAACCUGCGGGUCCCGGCCUCUGCCCGUGGUAGGCCUGACUCUGGAGGUUGCUUUACAAAACUUUGGAAAGGCUGAGAACGACUGGUCUUGCUCUGGUGGUGUAAGCACUCCACCUAGCACUGCAGCCGUGCUUCUGGGCGCGUAGAGCUGCCACCAGCAGAACUGCUCCAGGAGGCUGCUGUGGGGUGAAAACACAGCAGCCUGGCUCCCAAACCCUGCUCUGUAGGUUCUGGCUGUGGUCCGUGGUGAUGGUUGCCAAUAUGUGUGUAUUUCUUUCCACAUGGGACUUUUAAUGAAGGCUACAAGGGCUUGUGAUGACUUUGCAGGAGGAUGGGCAGUUGUCCAUAACCCAGCUUUGGGGAGAAGGGUCUCUUUGUGUCAGCUCCCCUUGGGUAGAAACUUACUCUCAAAGUUACGUUGGGAUUUGAAGAAAAAUCAUUUGUGUGAAAGCCUGCAGCACAUCAUCAGUCAUUUUUCAUACAGCUGUACCUUGUGACAUUUUAAAAUCUGCAUGGGCAUCAGUGAUUAAGUACAUGUCAGCUAGUGCUGCAUCUUCCAUAUCUCAUUGAAACUAUUAAAAGGGCUUUGGGUUUCAUUUUCUCAGAGAUUUCUUAAUUAUUCUGAUUUUGGAAGUUGGUAAGUGUGUGAGAAUUUUGUACAAGUUCCAGUUAAGCCCAGGAGACUUUGGAGAGCAAAGAUGAGAACAGAAAUAAAACUGUUUCUUAGAAGCCCUGUCAGCCUGCCUCCGUAUUUGGGUAGGCAGCCAACGUUUACCAAGGCUGAUGGGCAUUUUGGUGUUUACAUGUGCUGUGCAUGGCACCCCUGCAGAGGCUGGUUUUUGCUCACCUGAUCUUCAGGUCCAAAAGAAAGGUUUUCUCUGGAGGGUCACUCCUUUUAGAUGAGUUGUACUUGACUGUUCACUUAAGUUUAUGAUGAUGCUUGAUCCACGAUGCCAAGAUGAAAUAACUCGUGUGAUCUGUAGCUGUUGUGGCUUGCUACACUCCAGUGCUGAAAGCAUAAUGCACAACUUAUAAGAACCUCUUGUUUUUAUCAUCUGCCCCCGCGUAUUACUUUUUUUUUAAUUUGAGAAGCAAGUUUCAUGCUACUUAAAUGGAGGAACACUACUGAAGUUAUGAAGUGAAGCACUUGGAGGUAAAGGACUGUCAGACUGCUGAGUCUGUUAAUCUUUCUUUUCUUUGUUUGGGCCUAUGUAGUAUCAUAUCUGCAGGAAUAUCUGUGAUGCGCCAUUUCCUUGAUUAUGGGACAGCUGUCUCCAGGAAUGUUCAGGAUGAAGCUGGAACAAAGUAGCAUGAGAAACUGUACAUUUGUUACUUCUGAUUUCUGACAAUCUAAAGACAUGACUUUGGAGAAAUUUUGUUUUCUUGUUGGUCUGCUGUGUAACCUUAAUUUCUUUUCCUUAUCUUACCAAACUUUUAAACUCCAAAAUGUGUUUGAGUUUGGGGUUUUUUUUGUGUGUCUCCUGCCAGCUAAUGCAGUACUGGUUCUUUGUUUUCUCCUCUUAAGUUUUGUACCCAGCAUUAUUGCACUAAAUGGAUCAUGAGCACUUCCCUUUUCUAGGUCGCUAGAGUUGCAGGUGAUUUUGUUGCAAGCGAGGAUUUUCAAAAGAUUCAUAGAAUUGAUGAAAUCAAUGUAUUUGAUGGUAACGUUUGUCUCUGCUUCCAUCUGUAAAUAAUAUUACAAAAUAAGUUUAUAUAGUUACAAAACUAUUGCUACGCUCAUAUGCAUUGCCCAAUAGAAUAUACAUUACUUCUUCUGUUUUAUUGGAUAAGGACAUUAUUUUGCAUAUGUAUUUAUGUAGUAUUUAUACAUACAUAGGAGUUUUAAGUCAGCAUCAACGUAUGUUAAUUUGGGGCUUUGAGCAAUACUGGGGGUGUCUGGAAAAAAACCCAGAUCCUGUCACCAUCAUGCAGAGCUGGAAGUUGCACCAAAUCCAUAGACAUAACUUUAAAAAGAGGCAUUGCUUACUUGCUUAUUCUUUUCCUUUGUCAUACGUUUUGUGUUUUACAGAUGUUACUGUAUGUGGUCACUGUUGAACUGUGAGCUGCAAAGUGACAUUUACCUUUUGGAAUCCAAAUGCUUCAAAUAUUCUGUCUAAAUCUGCACGCUGCUGUUUAGAAGAUCCAGGAAUAGCUUUCUUGAACAAAGGAUAACAAAUUUUGUUGCAAUAGCCAAUGGAACAGCCAACAGAGGAAAUCACAGCGUCAGAGCAGAAAUGAAGAUUUUGGUUUGUG